CUGGAGGAUACAGCCAUCUUUUAUAUUCCAUUACUGAUGAACUUGAUUAACUGACUUAGAAACUUCCUUGCAGGAGGGCGAGCACUAUUAUACGUUCUACACACACGGUAUCCCCUGAGGCUUGUACUGCUGACAUGCUUUUUGUGUUCUAGUUACGGCUUGAAUUGAGAAUGCUUUCAAAGAGACUUGAAAGCUCAGAUGCUUUCCCUAGGCAAUGUAGACUUACUAAGUGCAUACGGAUGGGGAAGAUCACUCCGACAGAGUGAAGAGAGAGAAGAACUGCUAGUGGCACAAUCUGCUCUGCGAUCAGUGGGAACCUAAGGAAGGGUGAAGGCUGCGGACUCUGUUCCUGCAAGGUUACACUUGGGAGGAUUUUACACCCCAUCUCUGUGACUGCAGAGUAGAAAUAGGAGAUUCUGUUGUCUGGCAAUCCACGCUGACUGCCCUCUCUGGAUCCUCUCUGGAAUAAGAGCAGAUAGAAGCAUAUGACUUGAUGUCCAGAGGGUUUUGUUGAUGCAUGGGAUAAAUAUGAUCUGUCCUUGAAUUCUGACAGCAAGAAAUUGUAAGUGUUGUUGGAAGUGGUGUAAGAGAGCCUCUUGCUGUUGAAGUGAUUCUUCCCGCAGAUACUCACUAUGGCCUCAUCAGCAGCACCUAAAUAUAAUUCACACUCCUUGGAGAGCUCCUCAAUUAAAAGAUCUCUAAAAGAUGGAGCUAACUGGGAAAAAAGUGAAGAAAUACCCCGUCUGCCAGGAGAGACUAGAGUUA